AGUGAACGCUGGCGGUAGGCCUAACACAUGCAAGUCGAACGGCAGCACAGUAAGAGCUUGCUCUUACGGGUGGCGAGUGGCGGACGGGUGAGGAAUACAUCGGAAUCUACUUUUUCGUGGGGGAUAACGUAGGGAAACUUACGCUAAUACCGCAUACGACCUACGGGUGAAAGCAGGGGAUCUUCGGACCUUGCGCGAUUGAAUGAGCCGAUGUCGGAUUAGCUAGUUGGCGGGGUAAAGGCCCACCAAGGCGACGAUCCGUAGCUGGUCUGAGAGGAUGAUCAGCCACUCUGGAACUGAGACACGGUCCAGACUCCUACGGGAGGCAGCAGUGGGGAAUAUUGGACAAUGGGCGCAAGCCUGAUCCAGCCAUACCGCGUGGGUGAAGAAGGCCUUCGGGUUGUAAAGCCCUUUUAUUGGGAAAGAAAAGCAGCAGGUUAAUACCCCGCUGUUCUGACGGUACCCAAAGAAUAAGCACCGGCUAACUUCGUG
rnacentral:rRNA from 1 species